rnacentral:sRNA from 1 species
AAGCAAAUUUACAAAUGAUGUGGUUGUCGUCUUCUUACAAUUCUUGUCUUAAUUUUUUUCUUACAGAAAGGUUUGUUUUUUUAAAUGGGUUUUUUUUUUUUUUUUUUGUCGUUAGUUUUUAACAUUGAGUUAGUGAUUCCAAUAUGAGGUCAGAUGAACCACCAUUUUAACUUUUUGUAUAUUUUUUUUUUAUGUUGAUAAUUGUUUUAAAAGACAAAUGUGAUUUUAAUAUUCAUGCCUAUUGAUUUAUUUUUUCUUCUCACAUUUGAAAAAAUAGUAAAGAAAUCCUUUUUUUUAUGCCGUUUCAUUUCAGUUUCUGUAUGAAAUCCCAAACAGGUGAAGACAAGUUCUGUUGGCAAAAUAAUUUUGUUGGCUGUGUUGUAGAGUUUUGUUUUUGAAAGGAAAAAAUGUUGUUCUCAAUGCCUGAAUCAGCAGUUACUUUAUAUUAAUGUAUUUUGAUGUCAAAGUAAAAAGAAUCAUUCGCAAAUCAUUGCUUUUUGUAAGAACACACACAAACAAAAAAUAAUAUAUCAUAUCUGAAAUGAAAUUGGUGCUGAAUUUACAAGUUGAUUUAUGCAUAUUGUAUUUGAUAUCGAGAAUGAAUUCCUCCUAAUUUUACCUCUUUUAACUGGCUUCUUUUAAUUAAUUUCUGUUGAUUGGAGUUUGUACUGUUACUGUGAAAGAAAAACUGCAGAGACCCAGGGGUUACUUUGUGAAAUUUUGAGAACGAUGAACUUGUCUAUACUGAAUUCAGAAUGAUGGCUUGUUUUGUUUUUUUUGUGAACAGUUGAUUUUAAAGCAAUAUGGUUCCAUGACUGCUAGGUGUUCAGAAGUACACAAGAUAUCACAAUAAAUAUAUAUAAAAUCUG